CACCAGCCAGAUUCAUCCCCAUCUCCAGUGACACGCGAGGACAGUGGAAGUGCUGCUGGAGAUGAAAGACACAAGUCUUCUGAACCACAGCAGCCAGAAUCGUCCCCAUAUACAGUGACAUCCGAGGACAGUGGAAGUGCUGCUGGAGAUGAAAGACACGAGUCUUCUGAACCUCAGCCAGAAUCUUCCCCAUAUACAGUGCCAUCCGAGGACAGUGGAAGUGCUGCUGGAGAUGAAAGAUGCAAGUCUUCUGAACCACAGCAGCCAGAAUCGUCCCCAUAUACAGUGCCAUCCGAGGACAGUGGAAGUGCUGCUGGAGAUGAAAGACGCAAGUCUUCUGAACCACAGCAGCCAGAAUCGUCCCCAUAUACAGUGCCAUCCGAGGACAGUGGAAGUGCUGCUGGGGAUGAAAGAUGUGAGUCUCCAGGCCAAUGCAACAAUCCACUACCACCUGGCAAUGCAUGUCUUUGGUGCCCUCAAAACUGCAAGCACUUUAAAAGAACUGGAUGACAUGGUUCAAAGUGCUACAGUUGUCUUCUCCAGUCCAUGCUGUGGUGCAAGUGUUGAGAAGCACUUCAAGAACCUGCAAUCGUGGCUGCAGAAAAAAGGGACUCCUUUGGAUGAGACUACCAAGUCUAGGGGGGGUGCAGAGGACUUGAAGGAUAUUACAGGAAGCAACAGAUUUGCAAAACGUUGCAAUGCAAUUAUUUCUAAUGCCCCACUUGACAAGCAUGGAGAGGUCAAUAUGUACCAAUGCAAAGGGCUUAUUGAUCACCUCAAGAAAUACGUUCUGCCAUUUGCUGGAUUAUGGACCGGGAUAAUGUUAGGUGACCUUGGACGACAUGAGACAGGACCACAAUAUAAGCAGUGCUCCAGGAGAUACAAUGCCCUGAGAAAGCUUACAAGACAAAACAUUACACAGGACAACAAAACUCUAGGAGUAAUAGAAAAGAGCCAGUGGGACUUGAAACAUAUUCGUUUUACUUCUGGCCGGCUCACCAGGCUUGAUAACUUUGUAGCCCAGUAUCGGAUUAGCCACACUGUACUCCUGAAGGAGUAUGAGGACUCUGAAAGAGUUUUCUGA
rnacentral:lncRNA from 1 species